rnacentral:snoRNA from 1 species
AUAGUCAAAGAAUCAUUUCUUUAGUAAACGUCCUUCUUCUGUGUUCUCUACAAGAGCCACAGACUCCAACCGAGACGAUGAGCCGAACCUCAAUACCCUAGAGUGAAACCGUUUUGCUUUCGAUCUCUCUGCAAAGAGGGCGUUUUCUCUUUUCGAGAGGAAAUGUAUAGAAAGUGGUGAUGAUCUCGACCUUUUGGCGGUUCUCUUAGGAGACUACCUCUGGGUGGGUGUUGAUGGUCGUCUGAUCGGU